rnacentral:rRNA from 1 species
AAGCUCAUUUUGUAGCAAUACACUGCCAGUAAGGUGCUGCAUGGCUGUCGUCAGCUCGUGCCGUGAGGUGUUGGGUUAAGUCCCGCAACGAGCGCAACCCCCAUCAUUAGUUGCUAACAGGUCAAGCUGGGAACUCUAAUGAAACUGCCGUCGCAAGACGCGAGGAAGGAGGGGAUGAUGUCAAGUCAUCAUGGCCUUUAUGCCCAGGGCUACACACGUGCUACAAUGGGAGGGACAAAGAGCUGCCACUUGGUGACAAGGAGCUAAUCUCAAAAACCCUCUCUCAGUUCGGAUCGCAGUCUGCAACUCGACUGCGUGAAGCUGGAAUCGCUAGUAAUCGUAUAUCAGCAAUGAUACGGUGAAUACGUUCCCGGACCUUGCACACACCGCCCGUCAAGCCAUGGAAGCUGGGUGUACCUAAAGUCGGUAACCGCAAGGAGCCGCCUAGGGUAAAACUAGUGACUGGGGCUAAGUCGUAACAAGGUAGCCGUAUCGGAAGG